UGGAAACCGGAGCUAAUACCGGAUAAUAUUUUGAACCGCAUGGUUCAAAAGUGAAAGACGGUCUUGCUGUCACUUAUAGAUGGAUCCGCGCUGCAUUAGCUAGUUGGUAAGGUAACGGCUUACCAAGGCAACGAUGCAUAGCCGACCUGAGAGGGUGAUCGGCCACACUGGAACUGAGACACGGUCCAG
rnacentral:rRNA from 1 species